rnacentral:rRNA from 1 species
GACGAACGCUGGCGGCGUGCUUAACACAUGCAAGUCGAACGAAGUGGCGAACGGGUGAGUAAUACGUGGGUAACCUUCCCUCCUUUUUGGGAUAAGCCUUGGAAACGGGGUCUAAUACCGAAUAAAGGGGGAUGGGCUCGCGGCCUAUCAGCUUGUUGGUGGGGUGAUGGCCUACCAAGGCGGUGACGGGUAGGCGGCCUGGGAGGGUGACCGGCAAUAUUGGGACGGAGAUACGGCCCAGACUCCUACGGGAGGCAGCAGUGGGGGAUAUUGCACAAGGGGCGAAAGCCUGUUGCAGCGAUGCCGCGUGGGGGUUGAAGGUUUUCGGGUUGUAAACCUGUUUCGCUAUCGAAGGGGUAGGUGGAGAAGAAGCGCCGGCUAACUACGUGCCAGCAGCCGCGGUAAUUC